AGGUUCGCAUAACAGCGAUUAAAAGGGAAUGAGGUGAAAAUCCCCAACUGUCCCGCAGCUGUAAGUUCCUUUAUCAUUCGCAAGCAGCAUACCACUGCCACAGUACACUACUUAUUAUUUCUUAAGUAGAGGAAGGCGGGAAGGGGCUUGCGGACGGAACGAAGUCAGAAGACCUGCCCCAUC
rnacentral:ncRNA from 1 species